rnacentral:rRNA from 1 species
GACGUAGGAGGCGAGCGUUGUCCGGAUUCAUUGGGCGUAAAGAGCACGCAGGCGGUUUGGCAAGUCGGAUGUGAAAACCCGAAGCUCAACUUCGGGCCUGCAUCCAAAACUGCCCGACUAGAGGUAGGUAGGGGAGAUCGGAAUUCCUGGUGUAGCGGUGAAAUGCGCAGAUAUCAGGAGGAACACCGGUGGCGAAGGCGGAUCUCUGGGCCUUACCUGACGCUCAGGUGCGAAAGCUAGGGGAGCGAACAGG